ensembl:Mt_tRNA
UGAUAAUUAGUUUAACUAAAACAAAUGAUUUCGACUCAUUAGAUUGUAAAUUAUAUUACAAUUAUCAA